rnacentral:rRNA from 1 species
CCUACGGGAGGCAGCAGUGGGGGAUAUUGCACAAUGGGGGGAACCCUGAUGCAGCGACGCCGCGUGGGUGAAGGAGUGCUUCGGCAUGUAAAGCCCUAUCGGCAGGGAAGAAGCAAGACGGUACCUGACUAAGAAGCCCCGGCUAACUACGUGCCAGCAGCCGCGGUAAUAAGUAGGGGGCGAGCGUUAUCCGGAUUCACUGGGUGUAAAGGGAGCGUAGACGGGCAUGCAAGCCAGGGGUGGAAGCCCGGGGCCCAACCCCGGGACUGCCCUUGGAACUGUGCGGCUAGAGUGCGGGAGGGGCAGGAGGAAUUCGUGGUGGAGCGGUGAAAUGCGUAGAUAUCAGGAAGAACACCGGCGGCGAAGGCGGCCUGCUGGACCGCGACUGACGUUGAGGCUCGAAAGCGUGGGGAGCGAACAGGAUUAGAUACCCUAGUAGUC